rnacentral:rRNA from 1 species
CGUACACGGUGGAUGCCCUGGCAGUCAGAGGCGAUGAAGGACGUGCUAAUCUGCGAUAAGCGCCGGUAAGGUGAUAUGAACCGUUAUAACCGGCGAUUUCCGAAUGGGGAAACCCAGUGUGACUCGUCACACUAUCAUUAACUGAAUCCAUAGGUUAAUGAGGCGAACCGGGGGAACUGAAACAUCUAAGUACCCCGAGGAAAAGAAAUCAACCGAGAUUCCCCCAGUAGCGGCGAGCGAACGGGGAGGAGCCCAGAGCCUGAAUCAGCAUGUGUGUUAGUGGAAGCGUCUGGAAAGGCGCGCGAUACAGGGUGACAGCCCCGUACACAAAAGCGCAUGUGCUGUGAGCUCGAUGAGUAGGGCGGGACACGUGGUAUCCUGUCUGAAUAUGGGGGGACCAUCCUCCAAGGCUAAAUACUCCUGACUGACCGAUAGUGAACCAGUACCGUGAGGGAAAGGCGAAAAGAACCCCGGCGAGGGGAGUGAAAAAGAACCUGAAACCGUGUACGUACAAGCAGUGGGAGCACCCUUCGGGGUGUGACUGCGUACCUUUUGUAUAAUGGGUCAGCGACUUAUAUUCUGUAGCAAGGUUAACCGUAUAGGGGAGCCGUAGGGAAACCGAGUCUUAACCGGGCGUUAAGUUGCAGGGUAUAGACCCGAAACCCGGUGAUCUAGCCAUGGGCAGGUUGAAGGUUGGGUAACACUAACUGGAGGACCGAACCGACUAAUGUUGAAAAAUUAGCGGAUGACCUGUGGCUGGGGGUGAAAGGCCAAUCAAACCGGGAGAUAGCUGGUUCUCCCCGAAAGCUAUUUAGGUAGCGCCUCGUGAAUUCAUCUCCGGGGGUAGAGCACUGUUUCGGCUAGGGGGCCAUCCCGGCUUACCAACCCGAUGCAAACUGCGAAUACCGGAGAAUGUUAUCACGGGAGACACACGGCGGGUGCUAACGUCCGUCGUGAAGAGGGAAACAACCCAGACCGCCAGCUAAGGUCCCAAAGUCAUAGUUAAGUGGGAAACGAUGUGGGAAGGCCCAGACAGCCAGGAUGUUGGCUUAGAAGCAGCCAUCAUUUAAAGAAAGCGUAAUAGCUCACUGGUCGAGUCGGCCUGCGCGGAAGAUGUAACGGGGCUAAACUAUGCACCGAAGCUGCGGCAGCGACACUAUGUGUUGUUGGGUAGGGGAGCGUUCUGUAAGCCUGUGAAGGUGUGUCGUGAGGCAUGCUGGAGGUAUCAGAAGUGCGAAUGCUGACAUAAGUAACGAUAAAGCGGGUGAAAAGCCCGCUCGCCGGAAGACCAAGGGUUCCUGUCCAACGUUAAUCGGGGCAGGGUGAGUCGACCCCUAAGGCGAGGCCGAAAGGCGUAGUCGAUGGGAAACGGGUUAAUAUUCCCGUACUUGGUGUUACUGCGAAGGGGGGACGGAGAAGGCUAUGUUGGCCGGGCGACGGUUGUCCCGGUUUAAGCGUGUAGGUGUGUGUUCCAGGUAAAUC